AAAUUUAGGUUAACAAUCUUACACCAAGGGACCUUCAAAGCCCUAAAUAGCGGGCUAACCCCCUAAUUUCUG
rnacentral:tRNA from 1 species